CAUUGAAUAAGGCAAAUUUUCGUCAACUUUUCUUGGCUGCUCUUGAACUGAUUGAUUUUAAUAUUUGGUCUAGGAAUUAUCAGUUAUGCUACGGUAAACAUGUUACCUCAAUAAUUGCAUACAGUGAUGCAGGUCAAGACCCGGUAUAUGUUUUGUUUUUACCACGACUUAUAUCAAUUAACUAAUUAAAACUUUCAAAAAAAGACUACACGAUAUGUUUUAUUUCUUCUAUAUGAAAGUUCUGUGUCCUCCUUACUUUAAAUCCA
rnacentral:lncRNA from 1 species